rnacentral:rRNA from 1 species
GACGAACGCUGGCGGCGUGCUUAACACAUGCAAGUCGAACGGUGACCUCGGAGCUUGCUCCGGGCGAUCAGUGGCGAACGGGUGAGUAACACGUGAGCAACCUGCCCCUGGCUCUGGGGAUAACCCCGGGAAACCGGAGCUAAUACCGGAUACGAGACCGAUUGGCAUCUAUACGGUCUGGAAAGUUUUUCGGCCAGGGAUGGGCUCGCGGCCUAUCAGCUUGUUGGUGGGGAAUGGCCCACCAAGGCGACGACGGGUAGCCGGCCUGAGAGGGCGAUCGGCCACACUGGGACUGAGACACGGCCCAGACUCCUACGGGAGGCAGCAGUGGGGAAUAUUGCGCAAUGGGCGAAAGCCUGACGCAGCGACGCCGCGUGAGGGAAGAAGCCU